rnacentral:rRNA from 1 species
GAUGAACGCUAGCGGCAGGCCUAAUACAUGCAAGUCGAACGGUGUAGCAAUACACAGUGGCGCACGGGUGCGUAACACGUAUGCAACCUACCUUACAUUGGGGGAUAGCCUUUCGAAAGGGAGAUUAAUACCGCAUAAGACAGUAACUGGGCAUCCAGUAGCUGUUAAAGAUUUAUCGAUGUAAGCUGGGCAUGCGUCCAAUUAGUUAGUUGGCGAGGUAAUGGCUCACCAAGACGAUGAUUGGUAGGGGAACUGAGAGGUCAAUCCCCCACACUGGCACUGAGAUACGGGCCAGACUCCUACGGGAGGCAGCAGUAGGGAAUAUCGGGCAAUGGGCGCAAGCCUGACCCAGCCAUGCCGCGUGCAGGAAGAAGGCGUUAUGCGUUGUAAACUGCUUUUAUACAGGAAGAAACGACCCUUGCGAGGGGCAUUGACGGUACUGUAUGAAUAAGCACCGGCUAACUCCGUGCCAGCAGCCGCAGUAAUAC